rnacentral:rRNA from 1 species
UACGAAGGGGGCUAGCGUUGCUCGGAAUCACUGGGCGUAAAGCGCACGUAGGCGGGUUCUUAAGUCAGGGGUGAAAUCCUGGAGCUCAACUCCAGAACUGCCUUUGAUACUGGGAAUCUCGAGUCCGGGAGAGGUGAGUGGAACUGCGAGUGUAGAGGUGAAAUUCGUAGAUAUUAGGAAGAACACCAGUGGCGAAGGCGGCUCACUGGCUCGGUACUGACGCUGAGGCGCGAAAGCGUGGGGAGCAAACAGG